UGUAAGUAUCGUAGGAUUUCUGUUGUAUAUCUUAUAUUUCACUGUGUACAAUGCACUCCCUUUUAUAGUUGUAAAUACAAGAUAAAUAUGGAAAAGAUCAAUUUAUUCUAAUUGUAUCAAUUCCCUAUUGAUUUGAUUCUUCUUCCUAGAAUAGAGUGGUUUAUGCUUCUUUCCUUUCUUGGUGUGUAGGAUAUUCCCUUUUCCUUUCUUGACACAGAAUCCCCAAAAUCGAAAUUUCGUCGCCCUUCUUCUCCCCGCGAUUUCUACUCCCGACGGGUUGCCGGAGCUUCGCCGGCAUUUUACCCUCUGUGAAUUCUCCUUCCGGCGAGCUCCAUCUCAAAUUCCAAUCGGAACUCUCGAGUCGAGGUAGCGUCUGGAAAGGAACCCUAGAUCGAGGCGAACUCGGCGGCGCCUCUCCCUUCGCCGUCCGUCGGUCACCGCUGCCGCCAAGCUGGCUGUCCGUUUGAAGCACCGCGGCCCGCUGCCGCUGCCUCUUGUCCCUUCGUUGCUGGUGUCCCACCGUGGGCAAGGAGAGGAAGCUUCGUCUCUCUCUCUGCACCCACAGCUCCACUCCGCCCGCACCGCUGGCCCUCCGUCGAGCUGCGGUUCCGCUAGCUGCGAUCCCAGCCGGCGUCGCCUGGAUGCGCCGCCAAGGCAGCCACCGUCCACCAAUCGGCCCUAAAGCUAAGUCUCUGAACUCUCAUUAUCUAGCUCGCAUCUAUCCCGUUGAUUAGGUGUACAAUGGAUGAAGCUUGGUAUUAGGGAUUAUAGCUAUUCACAAAACAUGGAAAGGAAAGCAUGAGGACAAGCUAUGAUUUUUCGUUCUGUUUGGGGGUUGCUCUUGCUUGGUGGCUUAUAUCCUAAUUUAAGAUACACAGUACUGUUGUUGCCUACAAAUUAUCAUGUUGCCUGCUGUUAUGGUGUUGAUAAAAUGGUUGUGUGUGUGUUCACAUGGAUGAAAAGGAGUGAUAAGGUGAGUUGUGAUGAUUUACAUGUUGUGGUGAAGGGCUAAAAGGAAGGAAAGGGUUCUUGCUUGCUCACUGCCCCUUUUUCCCUAUUGUUUAUUUAAAGUUAAAAAUAGUGAUGAUAAUAAUAAUCUCUGGUUUUAAAUUAAUUAAUCCAAUCAAAUAUAUGUCUAAAUUAAACCUAUGAUCCAAUGCUUGAUUGAUUUGCUUAUUAUGUUAUAGGCAAUAGUUGAGGCCAAUUAAAUAACUAAAUCCGACUAGAUGAAAAAUCGAACAUUUUUUAACUAAGAGGGAGUGUUAGAGCUUGAUAAAGGGCUGCUGGAAACAGAUGCAAGAGUGGUCAAGCUUGAGGAAGAGCUACUGGAAAUAGAGGAAACGGACAAGUAAAAGAUUGUUUGUAAAUUCAUUAACAAUUUGAGCCCGGUGUGAUAAAUUUUCUUUGUCCUGAAGAGCAGGAACACAUGAUGUUGGUGCGAAGAUGAAGUUAACCAAGUAUUCUAGUGCGGAUACAAUAAGGAGCUUCUAAGAGAAAACCUAAGUGAAACAUAAAUUGUAUAGUCAUUUAGAACCUUUUUUGUACCUUUUUAUUUAAUAUUGUAUACUUUGAUUUCAUGAAAACUAUUACAUAA